rnacentral:rRNA from 1 species
UCCAGACUCCUACGGGAGGCAGCAGUAGGGAAUCUUUCACAAUGGGCGAAAGCCUGAUGGAGCAACGCCGCGUGCAGGAUGAAGGCCUUCGGGUUGUAAACUGCUUUUAUAAGCGAGAAAUAUGAUGGUAACUUAUGAAUAAGGAUCGGCUAACUACGUGCCAGCAGCCGCGGUAAUACGUAUGGUGCAAGCGUUAUCCGGAUUUACUGGGCGUAAAGGGAGCGCAGGCGGCGCGCCAAGUCUGAUGUGAAACCCCGGGGCUCAACCCCGGGCAUGCAUUGGAAACUGGCGGGCUGGAGUGCCGGAGAGGUAAGCGGAAUUCCUAGUGUAGCGGUGAAAUGCGUAGAUAUUAGGAGGAACACCAGUGGCGAAGGCGGCUUACUGGACGGCAACUGACGCUGAGGCUCGAAAGCGUGGGGAGCAAACAGGAUUAGAUACCCGAGUAC